CCAUGAUGAAUCAAAUUGUCAGUUCUGCUUCUGAUGGUACAGAGAAGAAACUUUUACCACUUCUGAU
rnacentral:snoRNA from 13 species